rnacentral:rRNA from 1 species
GACAGAGGGUGCAAACGUUGCUCGGAAUCAUUGGGCGUAAAGCGCGUGUAGGUGGCUCUCCACGUCGGGUGUGAAAGCCCGGGGCUCAACCCCGGCAGUGCACCCGAAACGAGGGAGCUAGAGUGCUGGAGAGGCGGGUGGAAUUCCCGGUGUAGAGGUGAAAUUCGUAGAUAUCGGGAGGAACACCGGUGGCGAAGGCGACCCGCUGGCCAGCAACUGACACUGAGACGCGAAAGCGUGGGGAGCAAAC